GACAGAGGGGGCAAGCGUUGCUCGGAAUCACUGGGCGUAAAGGGCGCGUAGGCGGGAUGGCAAGUCAGUCGUGAAAUCUCUCGGCUCAACCGAGAAACGUCGGCUGAUACUGCCGUUCUUGAGGGAUGCAGAGGAGACUGGAAUUCCCGGUGUAGCGGUGAAAUGUGUAGAUAUCGAGAGGAACACCUGCGGCGAAGGCGGGUUGCUGGGCUGAUACUGACGCUGAGGCGCGAAAGCUAGGGGAGCGAACGGG
rnacentral:rRNA from 1 species